rnacentral:sRNA from 2 species
UGUUGCCUCCGGAACGCGUCGUGCAGCGAAGUCCGGUGGGAAUCCGGCGCUGUCCCGCAACUGUGAUGCCCCCUCCGGGGACGAGCCAGGUCGCCUGCACGCCGCGUCGACGUGGCAAGACCCUCGCGGAAAAGGGUGACCCGUCGAU